rnacentral:rRNA from 1 species
AUUGAACGCUGGCGGCAGGCCUAACACAUGCAAGUCGAGCGGAUGAAGGGAGCUUGCUCCUGGAUUUAGCGGCGGACGGGUGAGUAACGCCUAGGAAUCUGCCUGGUAGUGGGGGAUAACGUCCGGAAACGGGCGCUAAUACCGCAUACGUCCUGAGGGAGAAAGUGGGGGAUCUUCGGACCUCACGCUAUCAGAUGAGCCUAGGUCGGAUUAGCUAGUUGGUGGGGUAAAGGCCUACCAAGGCGACGAUCCGUAACUGGUCUGAGAGGAUGAUCAGUCACACUGGAACUGAGACACGGUCCAGACUCCUACGGGAGGCAGCAGUGGGGAAUAUUGGACAAUGGGCGAAAGCCUGAUCCAGCCAUGCCGCGUGUGUGAAGAAGGUCUUCGGAUUGUAAAGCACUUUAAGUUGGGAGGAAGGGCAGUAAGUUAAUACCUUGCUGUUUUGACGUUACCAACAGAAUAAGCACCGGCUAACUUCGUG